GACACGCCCCCUUUUCUCACACCGCCGCUCGCCGGGAACCUGAGGCGGGAAAAGCUGAGGGCGCUCACUGAUCUAUAUGCUGACGGCGAUGAUGGAAGAAAGAUGGAUGGAGGAGACUACACGUCCUGAUGGCAGCAGUACAGAUGUUCUCCUUGAGGAGGAGUUUCAUGAGAAGGAUUUGGAGAUGGACUCUAUAGAAGAGAGAGGUGACAAUGACCUUACACAAGUUUCCUCAUCUGACUCAUCACCAUCUAGAAGGGACAAAAAAUAAAAGAACAUUCUUAACCCUACAUUUAUAAAGAAAAUUCAUCACACGCAGAUAAACAAACGAUACACAAGACAACAUGCAGAAGAUUUUCAUGAUCUACAUGUUAGUACAAGACAACAAAUGCUGCACUAUACAUGUACCUGGAGGACUAAGCUGAGCUGGAUGCUCUACAAGAUUGGUGAUUCCGUGGAAUUCUU